rnacentral:rRNA from 1 species
AUGUCGAGCUCUGAGAUGGAUUCCUCUUCGCUGAGCAGCGACAUCAGGUUCCGUGCGUACGCGGUGCUCGUGUCGUUCGGCGUAGCGGCCGUCCUCGCGGUGUGCUUCUGGCGGCUGUACAAGCUCACCGUGUCCGCGCGCCCACAGGACAUGCUGCCCGUCUCCUUCCCCUCCGGCUCCGGUGGCGGUAAGGUGGCGGCGACGCUGAGGCAGAGAAAUAUCAUGUUGCUGCCGGUAUUCGUUCACGGCGGCACGGCGCGACGUGGAGUGCGCGGUGUGCCUCGCCGAAAUGACGGACGGCGAGAAGGGUCGGCUCCUGCCUGGGUGCAGACACCGGUUCCACGUCGAGUGCAUCGACCGGUGGUUCCGGACCAACUCCACGUGCCCGCUCUGCCGGGUUGCGGCCUUCGGCGAGCCGAGCGCAGUGGAGGGGCACAAGGGUGGCUCCGUCGCUGGACCGCCGGCGGUUGUGCUGCAAGGUUGAAGGAGUGUGGUUUUCUAUAUUUUUAUUUCUUUUUGGGAUGGCUUGUGUUGUCCAUAAAAAUUUUCAUUUUUGUUUAA